UUUGGCAAAUUUACACAAUUU
rnacentral:piRNA from 1 species